CUCCAAACAGACCUUGACUGGAGCGCUUGUGAAAAAACUCUUUCAUCAGAAGUCCAUUUAUGUCAAACCAGACAAGGUGCUGAUAACAGAGGAAAAAGAGCUUUCAAUUCAAGAUGGAGACAGUCAACAUACAAACAGCAGUGAACCCCAAGAAGUAUCAGAUGACAUAAAUGAUGCCACACGGUCUCUCCCCAGUGGUGAUCAAAUCAUCUGGUGUGCAGCCACC